rnacentral:rRNA from 1 species
GAUGAACGCUAGCGGCAGGCCUAACACAUGCAAGUCGAGGGGCAGCACGUCUUCGGAUGGUGGCGACCGGCGCACGGGUGCGUAACGCGUAUGCAACCUACCUCUUACAGUGGGAUAGCCCAGAGAAAUUUGGAUUAAUACCGCAUAGUAUACAGAUUCAGCAUUGGGACUGUAUUAAACAUUUAUGGGUAAGAGAUGGGCAUGCGUUCUAUUAGUUAGUUGGAGUGGUAACGGCACCCCAAGACAGCGAUAGAUAGGGGCCCUGAGAGGGGGAUCCCCCACACUGGUACUGAGACACGGACCAGACUCCUACGGGAGGCAGCAGUGGGGAAUAUUGGACAAUGGGGGCAACCCUGAUCCAGCAAUGCCGCGUGAGUGAUGAAGGCCUUAGGGUUGUAAAGCUCUUUUGCCAGGGAAGAUGAUGACUGUACCUGGAGAAUAAGCCCCGGCUAACUUCGUGCCAGCAGCUGCGGUAAUGUGACU